GCGAGUACCAUUUAAAAUUUUAAAAGCCCACGUUAAUCCCACAUCCCACAUCGUGAUUGGAUUAAAACAGGGCCAGAGUACUCGACUACUCGUGUACUCAUACAAAGCAAGCGGAGCAAAGCAACCACACACACGCUACCAAAUCAGCAUUACCAACGCACCGGCAAAGCCGCAAAGAGGAGGAGGAGAAACGAAAAGGAAAAAAAAGAGAGAGAGGUGGAUUAACGACGGGACAAACGGCGGGGGCGGCGCCUCUCUCUCCGCCUCCUCUGUGGGUGGUCAAACCUCCCCUCCCGCUGGCCCCUCCGCACCUCCCGCCUCCCCUAUUAAUACCACCACCUCCUCCCCUUUCCUCCCCCCAACCCAUCCAACCCACCAGCCUCCUCCUCCUGCUCACCAACGCGGCGGCGAGCAACCGCCACCACCACCACCGUCGAACACUUGGCGCUUCCGGCCGCCCGCCCUAGCUCGCUCGGCUCGGCUCUCGUGGUCUUCGGAUAUGGCUCCCAGGAACGCCGCUGAGGUGGUUGGCGUGGCGGCGGACGGCGGCGGC
rnacentral:lncRNA from 1 species